rnacentral:rRNA from 1 species
UACGUAGGGUGCGAGCGUUAAUCGGAAUUACUGGGCGUAAAGCGUGCGUAGACGGUUAUUUAAGUCGGGUGUGAAAGCCCCGGGCUCAACCUGGGAAUUGCAUUCGAGACUGAAUAGCUAGGGUACGGUAGAGGGAAGCGGAAUUUCCGGUGUAGCGGUGAAAUGCGUAGAUAUCGGAGGGAACAUCAGUGGCGAAAGCGGCUUCCUGGACCAGCACUGACACUAAGGCACGAAAGCGUGGGGAGCAAACAGG